UCCAAAGUAGCUCAGUUGGGAGAGCGUUAGACCAAAGCUCUAAAGACCCUUGGUUCAAUCCCGGGGUUUGGCA